GGUAUAACCUUAUUCAACAACACUUAAAAACAAAUUAUUUGUGAAGCAGUAGUGAUUUUUCAAAUGUUACUUUGUUCUUUAUUAGUGAGUAGCAGGCUUUAAAGUAUUAGUAUUUUUAUUUAUAGACUCCAAAGGUAACCCCAGAAACCUCGUUAAUAGUAAAGGUUUGAGGAGAAAACCAUCUUCAAAGAACUUGGAAUCAGUUUUAACCUGUAGCGACGAGAGAUUUGUGGAUUUUCUCAACAAAUGUCUCGAAUGGGAUCCUGACCUUCGUCUGACUCCUGACGAAGCUCUUAGACACCCAUGGUUAGCGGGACAUGAUAGUGGUAGAAGAACUUCCAAGUCAGUUCAGUCCCUAAUAAUCCGUGAAGUAGAAACAGAUCAACCUAGAUCAAUCUACAGGGUCUACAAAGGGUCAAAGGGUCAUCAUAGAAACAGAGACUCUCGCUCCUUCAACAAAGCUGCCUCAGAAGAAUCAUUGGUCUUAAGGUCCAUUGAGAGUAUAGAUACCAGCAUUGGUGAUCCAGACGACCUCCUAGUAGAUUCUGGAAUGUUCCUACCACCAAUAUUGUGACAAAAACCCUGAGGGUAGAUACACACUGGUAAACACUUCAUCAACCAAGGUCGCAUGACAGUUUGCCUGAUUGGUGUGUCCACCCUCAUACAACUUGUUUGAGUGUAGAAAUUGACUACCAUCAGUGGUAAUUGAAGCUUGGCAUGACUUUCAGCUCAACAUAUCCUUCAAGUGUGGCUUGUCUUACGUAAUAUGAGAAGUGAACCAUGCCUUCAUGUAUUCCAAAGUGAAACAUGUCCUAUAUGUGGGUCGUCAUAAUAUAUUAAAUGAGCCAAGCAUUCGUGUGCAACUAUAUGUAAGAUUAAAUUUAAUGGAGUUCUUAUAUAUGAUUUUUUAGCCUCUGAAGUAAAUCACGGAAACGUGUUCUCAAGUGAAUGUUAAUGCUUUCAGAAGAAACUUGUGUCAUUACGUGUUACUAUGAAUGAGCCAACUCUUCUGGUGUUUUUUGUUUUUAAAGUGAUAAAUGAAAUAUGUUGUAAUGUCAGCUUAUACAAUGCCUUCACAUUAAGUUUAGUAUUAAAGAAAAGAACACAAUUCUUCAUAUGAGACUUACUGUUAUAUCAGAAAAGGGGAAGUACUUUCACACGAGGACAAUUGCUAUGUUAGGAGUGAAACAUGUUUUAUGUCAGGCUGAUCAUGCUAUCACGUGUAAAACAUGCCUUAAUGUAAGUCAUAUCGUAAUGUGUGGAACGUUGUUGGUACCUUUAUGUAUGAUUUGUUAUUAUAUCAUAAGGGAAACAGGUCUUUCUGAGAAGCUUAUCUUUUGUCAGAAAUGAGAAAUUCUGUCAUUUCAGAGUUAUUGUUAUAUUAGACAGUAACAAUACUCUCGUGUAAGGCCUAUUGUUAUGUGAAAAGCGAAACACGAGGCUUAUUUUUACAUCGGGAUAGACUAGUAAAUAGUAGUGGAAUGAGGCUUAACAUUAUAUUAUAGAAAUAUGCUCUUAUGUGCCACGAUAUGCCAGAAGGGAGCCAUGCACAUUUGCUUAAAACACUAUGUAGAGACUAUGUAUACACCAUGUAGAUAUUGCACUGCAUUUACUACUGUUUACAAAAUAAAUAAGUUCAAUAAGAAAAGCAAAAAAAAGAAGAAGAAGAAGGAACGAAAUGACGUAUGCUGUUGUAGUUUAUUAAUCACGUGAUUAUUAAAGUGUUUAUCGUAACAUGAUAUAGAAUAACACCAGUUAAAUACUCUAAGAAGGGCAAUACAGAAGUUCAUGUACUGAUAUACAAUGCUCUGAAACGCAUAGCGCUCACAACCAAGUAAAAUCACGCGAUACGAUCAUAGCGAAGUUAGACUCGUAAUACAUGAAUUCACAUGAUGUCAUAGUUAAAAUGACUUGCUGUAUCAUAUACGUGAAUGACAAGUCAUGCAAUCAUGUCUUUGACCUCGGUAUUACUGUGAUGAUAUUAGAUGUAGAUGUAUAGAUUUAAGGAUCACAAGAUCCAACUGUUUAUACGCUCCCAAUGUAAACGUGUGAUGCAGAAAGUAACAGGAUCAUGUCUGCGGUCCUGUGUUAGUCUGGUAAUACUGUAAUUUUUAUACAUGUGAGUAGAGCAUGGCAAUGAGAUAAACAUGUCAUUAAUAUUGAUGCUGAGUCCAUUCCAAAAUAUCACGUGAUAAAACUAAAGGAUGUAUUUCGUGAAUACCGGCAAUGCAAAAAUUCACAUCACAUGUUAAAGCCACUGACUUGAACAUAAUAAACAGGUAUGCGAUAUUGUUGCGUAAGACUCGUAACGUAGGUAAACUAUUAUGUAGAAUCAUAGGAACUUUGUACAUGUACAGUUGCCCGACGAAGGCUCUGGUAAAAGGGUCGAAAGCUUGCAAAUAAAAGUAUUUUAACGUGUACAGUUAUACGAUAUUGUUUAACGGACUCCUGGUUAUGUGAAUUACUUCCCAUACAGAUUAAUAGUGUAAGUACAAAGGAAUACAGAUAGUAACGUCACGGUUAAGACCGUUUACAUAGUAGAAAUAUAGGCAUAUAGUUAAUUUAUCUUAAGGAUAUAUAUAUAUUCCAAACAACACUCAGUGCCUGCUCACCCCCCCC